rnacentral:rRNA from 1 species
CCCUUAGAUGUUCUGGGCCGCACGCGCGCUACACUGAUGCAUUCAACGAGCCUAUCCUUGACCGACAGGUCCGGGUAAUCUUUGAAUCUGCAUCGUGACGGGGAUAGAUUAUUGCAAUUAUUAAUCUUCAACGAGGAAUGCCUAGUAGGCGCAAGUCAUCAGCUUGCGUCGAUUACGUCCCUGCCCUUUGUACACACCGCCCGUCGCUCCUACCGAUUGAAUGAUCCGAUGAAUACCAUGGAUUGAGAGUACGAAUAGGUUCGCUUAUUUCUGCUGCUCGAGAAGUGGAGUAAAUCUUAUCAUUUAGAGGAAGGAGAAGUCGUAACA